rnacentral:rRNA from 1 species
UACGGAGGGUGCAAGCGUUAUCCGGAUUCACUGGGUUUAAAGGGUGCGUAGGCGGGCAGGUAAGUCAGUGGUGAAAUCUCCGAGCUUAACUCGGAAACUGCCGUUGAUACUAUUUGUCUUGAAUACUGUGGAGGUAAGCGGAAUAUGUCAUGUAGCGGUGAAAUGCUUAGAUAUGACAUAGAACACCAAUCGCGAAGGCAGCUUACUACGCAGUUAUUGACGCUGAGGCACGAAAGCGUGGGGAUCAAACAGG